UUAAUUUGGGUUAUUCAUGGUUCCUUCUGAUUUCUCCUGGUUGCCCAAAACCCCAAUUCCUUCUUCUCAAAUCCCAGCGAAAUCCCAUCAAUCCCCACAACUUAUGCUUGUAAAAUGGUGCCGUGUAACUCCUCAAAGAAGAAUCUUUCUCUAUUCCGCCAUUAGAGCUUCGAACGCAAGCGCUGCCACCGAGUCUUCUUCUUCUUCUUCUCCGGGACUCUACUAGGCCAAGCAAUUUGAGCUCACAGUUCCCAACAUUGACUUGGUUCUCAAGGACGUCCGCCCCUAUCUCAUCAACUAUGGUGGAAACGUCGACAUUGUGUCCGUCGAAGACGGCAUCGUUUCUCUCAAGCUCCAAGGGGCUUGUGGAAGCUGUCCUAGCUCAACAACCACCAUGAAAAUGGGGAUUGAACGAGUGCUUAAAGAAAAGUCUGGAGAUGCACUCAAGGAUAUUCAACAAGUCUUUGAUGAAGAAAACAGAAUGACCACAGUUGAGGCAGUCUCGACACAUUGAGGCCGACGAAGAAUUUUGCACUAUUGAUGCUAUAUGGUAGCAUGUUGCCAAUUGCAAUACGUGCAGUUUUUCUAACUCAAAUAGGAAAGGCACAUUCCUUGAAGAUAGAGAAAAUUUUGUUUCAAGGCAAAUCGGACUAUUAGAAUGUGAUGGUCUUCCAGGUUCUCGUCCUAGAUGGGGUGAUUCAGCUGACAGAAAGGGAUGAAUGUGUCUAUCAAGAAAUCAUUACUCAUCUUCCUCUCUGCCCAAUUCCAAACCCCAAGAAGGUUUUGGUUAUCGGUGGAGGAGAUGGUGGUGUACUGAGGGAAGUGGCUAGUCAUUCUUCUAUCAAGCAAAUAGAUAUAUGUUUCAAAACAGUUUUUCUCUCGUGUAGCUAUUGGAUAUGAGGAUCCCAGGGUGACACUCCAUGUUGGUGAUGCUUCCUCAUUAGCUCUCUGUUAAUGUCGUAGGAGUCGCAUUUUCAAAGGUUGUUCUAGCAGGAACUUAUGAUGCAAUAAUUGUGGACUCUUCUGAUCCCAUAGUUUGAGUUUGAAGAAGCGGAAGAAGAAGGAGAAGUUCCAAAUGCAGCUUGCCAAGAAAGAUCGAAGGUGCGUUUGUUCAAGGAAUUGGGUUUUUCAUGCUUGAAGAAUACAUAGAAAAUUCUGAGGGAUUGGUGAUUUCUAAUGGUACAUGGAUGUAUAAAAUUCCUUCCAUAGACACUAUACCCAAGCAGUUCAAUGUCGAAAUACUAAAUAGUGGACAUGCAACACAGUAAUCGUGUUCUCUCUUCAAAAGGAUGACUUCGCUUUCUGGCAAAUCCACAUUGUACAAUAAACAUUAAUUAUAGUUUCAUUUCCAACCAAGUGGGCAGCAAAGACUCGGAAAGUAUACACCCAAGAGGAACUUGACGAGGUCCGCAUUGAAGUACCUGACUAUUUGCAGACUUUGCUAUAGAUGCUGACUCUACCAAAGUGAUUUUGAGUAAGGCUAGCUAGAUUUUGUAGAACCAUUUUGAAGUAGAACGUUGUACAGUUGCAGGUGAACUAAACUGCAUAUAGUUAUUGCAAUAGUCUAUUUUGGGCUAGCCUUGAUGUAGGUUAGGGUGUUUUUGCCUAUUUUUGGAACUAUUAACAAUUCUGAUGUUGGACAGAAAUUAAUGCAAUGCCCCAUAUU